UUUGGUGCUCGAAAGAGAGCCGUAACACAGGUGCUGCAUGGCUGUCGUCAGCUCGUGUCGUGAGAUGUUGGGUUAAGUCCCGCAACGAGCGCAACCCUUGUCAUUAGUUGCUACGAAAGGGCACUCUAAUGAGACUGCCGGUGACAAACCGGAGGAAGGUGGGGAUGACGUCAAGUCCUCAUGGCCCUUAUAGGUGGGGCUACACACGUCAUACAAUGGCUGGUACAAAGGGUUGCCAACCCGCGAGGGGGAGCCAAUCCCAUAAAGCCAGUCGUAGUCCGGAUUGAGGUCUGCAACUCGACCUCAUGAAGUCGGAAUCGCUAGUAAUCGCGGAUCAGCAUGUCGCGGUGAAUACGUUCCCGGGUCUU
rnacentral:rRNA from 1 species